AACUAAGUUUUUUUUUUUUUUUUGAAUUAUUACAGGUGGGGAUGGUCCUGAAGGAAUAGUUUUAGAAGAAGUUCGAGAACAUUGCCAACUGCAAGAAAGAGUGACUCUUCUUGGAGCCGUAAAGCAUGUAAAUGUCCGAGAUGUUCUUGUAAAGGGUGGUAUCUACCUGAAUGCAUCACUUACAGAAGCAUUUUGUAUUGCAAUUUUAGAAGCAGCUUGUUGUGGACUUCAAGUUGUGAGCAUUAGUGUUGGUGGUGUGCCUGAAGUUUUGCCCCCCGAACUUGUUUGGUUAACUGAACCAACUGUCAUUGGUAAAUAUAAGUUUGACUGUCUAAAUUUGAAUUUUUCUGAAAAAUGAUCAAGCAUAUUAAAUUAAUUUUGUGGUAUAUAUUUUAAGAAUAUUGUUUUCAUAUGCUUAAUUUAUUUUUCAACUUCUUAACUGCCUCAAACUAUAAUCAGGUCUCAUACCUUAGGGUGCGUAGCGUUUUUAAAAAGUGCUUAAAGGUGCUAAUUUUUUAUUUAUGUUUUUAAAAGCCCUUAAAGGUACUU